UCCCUGGUGGUCCAGUGGUUAAGACCCUACACUUCCACUGCAAGGGGAAUUGGGUUCGAUCCCUGAUCAGGGAA
rnacentral:tRNA from 1 species